rnacentral:snRNA from 1 species
AGCUUUAUGCUGUGGCAGUACUGUAGCCAAUGAGGUUUAUCCGAAGCGCAAUUAUUGCUAAUUAAAAAUCUGCCCAACAGCUGGCAAGGUAGCUCAGUGGUCUAAAGCACCUGCUUAGGU